rnacentral:rRNA from 1 species
AUUCCAGCUCCAAUAGCGUAUAUUAAAGUUGUUGCAGUUAAAAAGCUCGUAGUUGGAUUUCGGAACCGGCCGAUUGGUCCGUCCUCUGGAUCGUGUACUGAUCGGUCUGUUCUUCUUCGCGAAGACCGCGUGUGCCCUUAACUGGGUGGGCGCGGGAUUCGCGACGUUUACUUUGAAAAAAUUAGAGUGUUCAAAGCAGGCAGUCGCUUGAAUAUCUCAGCAUGGAAUAAUAGAAUAGGACUUUGGUCUUAUUUUGUUGGUUUCCGAGACCGAAGUAAUGAUUAAUAGGGACAGUUGGGGGCAUUCGUAUUUCAUUGUCAGAGGUGAAAUUCUUGGAUUUAUGAAAGACGAACUUCUGCGAAAGCAUUUGCCAAGGAUGUUUUCAUCG